CAAUGGAGACAUUGGGGUCAAUGGGGACAUUGGGGUCAAUGGGGACAUUAUGGGGACAUUGGGGUCAAUGGAGACAUUGAGGUCAAUGGGGACAUUGGGGGACAAUUGGGGACACUGGAGGGUAAUGGGGACAUUGGGGGGAACUGGUGGGGACUGGGGGGGACGGUGCAAUAAAGCUCGGCCAACAUGCCCUGCUCUGAGAGUGGAUGGAUUGGGGGGGGGGCAAUGGGGACAUUGGGGUCAGUGGGGAUGUUAUGGGGCCAUUGGGGGCCAUUGGUGUCAAUGGGGACAUUGGGGUCAGUGAGUGACGUUAUGGGGGCAUUGGAGUCAAUGGGGACAUUGGGGUCAGUGAGUGACGUUAUGGGGACAUUGGGGUCAAUGGGGACAUUGGGGUCAGUGAGUGACGUUAUGGGGACAUUGGGGUCAAUGGGGACAUUGGGGUCAAUGGGGACAUUGGGGUCAGUGGGGACAUUAUGGGGGGAAUGGGGGACAAUGGGGACAUUGAGGGACAUUGGGGUCAAUGUGGACAUUAUGGGGACAUUGGUGACAGUGGGGACAAUGGUGACAUUGAGGUCCAUGGGGACAUUAUGGGGACAUUGGGGUCAGGGGGGGCUACGGGGACAUUGGUGACAUUGGGGUCAAUGGGGACGUUAUGGGGGCAAUGGGGCACGAUGGGACAAUGGGGACAUAACGGGGACAUCGGGGUCAAUGGGGACAUUGGGGACAUGGAGUGACAUGGAGGCAUUGGGGACAUUAUGGGGACAAUGGGGGUAAUGGGGACACUGGGGACAUUGGGCUGAAUGGGGACACUGGGGACAUUGGGGAUUUCGGGGCAAUUUGGGGAUUUUUGAGAGAUUUGGAGGAUUUGGGGGGACAUUGGGGGGGCGUGGCCUCUUUUAGCCCCGCCCCUCCUCGCGUCACCGCCGCACUGCGCCGGGGGCCGAGCGCCUCCGGAAAGAACCGAACUGCUCCGGCAACCGGAAGCCGGCACCCGAACGGCGCUCGGAACCGGAAGUCGGCACCCGAACGGCAUUCGGGCACCCGAAGGGUUCCGAAGAGCUCCGAGCGGCCAUGGCGUGACACCCCCCCCACCCCACCCCCCCCGUUUCUCUUCACUGCGGAUUCCCAGCUCCUCCGGACCCCCCCGGUUCCGCUCCGCCCCCACCCAGGGGUCCAUGGACCGGGCACGGGGCGGCGGGGGGCGGCCGAGCGGCGGCGGCGGCGCGGGGAGGAGCGGAAGGAACCGGAGCGGCUGAGGAAACCCGAACCCGUCCGAAAGGACCCGAACGGGAACCGAAGAGAUCCGAAGCGACCCGAAGCGGGCUGCGGGGACCCGAACGUUUCCGAAAGGACCCGAAGAAUCCCGAAGCUCUCUGCGGGGAGCCGAAGGCGUCCGGAAGGACCCGAAGCCGACCCGAAGAAUCCCGAAGCCGUCCGAGGGGUCGUCCCGAAGAGGCCCGAACCGGGCCCGGCCCGCCAUGGCCCUCAGCGGCCCCGCGCUGCUCCU
rnacentral:lncRNA from 1 species